rnacentral:rRNA from 1 species
UGGGGAAUAUUGCGCAAUGGGGGGAACCCUGACGCAGCCAUGCCGCGUGAAUAAAGAAGGCCUUCGGGUUGUAAAGUUCUUUCGGUAUUGAGGAAGGUUGAUGUGUUAAUAGCACAUCAAAUUGACGUUAAAUACAGAAGAAGCACCGGCUAACUCCGUGCCAGCAGCCGCGGUAAUACGGAGGGUGCGAGCGUUAAUCGGAAUAACUGGGCGUAAAGGGCACGCAGGCGGUUAUUUAAGUGAGGUGUGAAAGCCCUGGGCUUAACCUAGGAAUUGCAUUUCAGACUGGGUAACUAGAGUACUUUAGGGAGGGGUAGAAUUCCACGUGUAGCGGUGAAAUGCGUAGAGAUGUGGAGGAAUACCGAAGGCGAAGGCAGCCCCUUGGGAAUGUACUGACGCUCAUGUGCGAAAGCGUGGGGAGCAAACAGGAUUAGAUACCCUGGUAGUCCACGCUGUAAACGCUGUCGAUUUGGGGAUUGGGCUUAGAGCUUGGUGCCCGUAGCUAACGUGAUAAAUCGACCGCCUGGGGAGUACGGCCGCAAGGUUA